GAUGUCUGAGGAGUUUUUUGGUGCAGAUAGAUACAUAUAGAUUAUUUAGCUGUAAUUGGUCACGCGCUUAGAAUAUAGAAAUCAGGGGCGUCGACAGCCGCACGCGAUGCUACUGUUGCUGCUUCUCUUUCUCCCUGACGAUGAGAGCAAAAUAGUGGGAUUUCUGCGCUAAAAGACACUGAGAUCGUAAUUACGAAUGCUGAUAAUAUAUUAGUUUCAAUGAUCUUUGACGAUUUACGUAAGAAAUUAUUUAGUUGGAAAUAUAAACUAUUUA